GUGGGGAAUUUUGGACAAUGGGCGCAAGCCUGAUCCAGCAAUGCCGCGUGCAGGAAGAAGGCCUUCGGGUUGUAAACUGCUUUUGUACGGAACGAAACGGUCCGGGUUAAUACCCUGGGCUAAUGACGGUACCGUAAGAAUAAGCACCGGCUAACUACGUGCCAGCAGCCGCGGUAAUACGUAGGGUGCAAGCGUUAAUCGGAAUUACUGGGCGUAAAGCGUGCGCAGGCGGUUUUGUAAGACAGGCGUGAAAUCCCCGGGCUCAACCUGGGAAUUGCGCUUGUGACUGCAAGGCUGGAGUGCGGCAGAGGGGGAUGGAAUUCCGCGUGUAGCAGUGAAAUGCGUAGAUAUGCGGAGGAACACCGAUGGCGAAGGUAAUCCCCUGGGCCUGCACUGACGCUCAUGCACGAAAGCGUGGGGAGCAAACAGGAUUAGAAACCCGUGUAGUCC
rnacentral:rRNA from 1 species